CCACCACCACCACCCCCAACUUUUACACCGAUGCUGCGGCUCAAGGGCUCAAGCCAGCCCAUUUGGAGUUUGGACUUUCCUGUUUGGAAUGCGGAGCUUUGAAAGAAAAGCUGUGUAUGGAAGUGGGCUCUUUUAGAAAAUAGAUUAUCACAGAAAUAGCCUGAAGGUCCAAAGGCCAGUUGCUGAUAGGAUUCGGGUGGGGCCAGGAGAUUGGGAAAUACAGAUACUUAGUUGUGUCUCGGUCGCAUCUACACUGGGCUGAAAAGCAAGGGAACUGGAUUCUGAUUUCGUCCUAUCAGGUUUACGUGACCUCAGGCAAGUUACUUGUGCGAACCUAAAUUUCCUCCUGUGUGAAAGGAGCUUGUAGCCAGCGGAGGUUCCAGGCGCCCUCCUGCUCAACAAUUACGGGAUUCUUCCAAGAGUUUGAAGUCAUGUGGUUCCACUCAACGGAAUGUGGCACGUGGGGACUACCAGAUGCUGGGAAGUUGGAAUAAAGCGUGGGUGCUGGUCCUGUCCAGCUCAGGAGGACUGAGGAACUGAGGGGGACAGGUUCUCUCUGAUGCUACCCAGUUGCUUGUAUCCUUUUGCCCUCUGGCUAUGAUAUUUUUUUCUUCCUACCCAUAAACAUGGAUGGGUUUCCCAGAAAGUCAUUCCUUGGCCCAGGCUGAAUUUAGGAAGCCACGUUUUUGCCCUUGUCAGUCUCCGUGUCCCUGGACCCCCAGAACCCAAUGCACGGCUUGACACCUGUGUGCUCGUCCACCACGUCCUGGAUGGAGAGCCCGCUGUGUGCCCACCCUAGGUUAGGCCCUGGAAAUGGACAGGUGCCUAAGCCUCAGUUUGACUUCAAGUACGUCAGGACCCAAAACUCAGUGAUCAUUUCCUGCUUUUCUCUUUUGUGAUAACUCCGAAGGAGGGUAAAUGCCAAAAAGGCUCAUGUCUUUAUCUAUAAAGAGCUCAUACACAUGAAAAUAAAACGGAAGCAUCUUGAAUAGAGCAAGCGCAUGAUCAGAAAAAUUUUCAAAGAACUUCAUUUGCUUGACUGUAUUAAAAAAAAAAACAAAAACCUGAAACCU